GAUGAACGCUAGCGGCAUGCCUAACACAUGCAAGUCGAACGGGGCGCUUCGGCGCCUAGUGGCGGACGGGUGAGUAAAGCGUAGGAAUCUGCCUUGCAGUGGGGGACAACCUGGGGAAACUCAGGCUAAUACCGCAUACGCUCGCGAGAGGAAAGCGGGGGAUCUUCGGACCUCGCGCCGCAAGAAGAGCCUACGUCCGAUUAGCUAGUUGGUAGGGUAAAAGCCUACCAAGGCGACGAUCGGUAGCUGGUCUGAGAGGAUGAUCAGCCACACUGGGACUGAGACACGGCCCAGACUCCUACGGGAGGCAGCAGUGGGGAAUAUUGGACAAUGGGCGCAAGCCUGAUCCAGCAAUGCCGCGUGGGUGAAGAAGGCCUGCGGGUUGUAAAGCCCUUUAAGUGGGGAGGAACGGCGGGAUGCGAACAGUGUUCUGCUCUGACGUUACCCACAGAAUAAGCACCGGCUAACUCCGUGACAGCAGCCGCGGU
rnacentral:rRNA from 1 species